GUUUCUUUAUUCCAAAAAUUUUAAUUUAUUAAGUUUUUAAUUUUAUAAUGAGUCACUUUUGAGGCUAUUUAGUAAUAUGCAUGUAAAAAUAUAAAUGCUAGAAUAUUCUAACUUAUUUACAUAUAUUUAGAUUUUUUUGGAAAAGGUCCCUGGAACCUUGAAAUAUGAUAAUACUUCACUUGACUUACCAAGCCAUCCAGCACAAGCAUGGCUAUAUAAUGAGAAAGAAAAUUUGUUUUCAUCAGAACACACACAGUUACAUAGCAGAUCAGAAAAUAGAACGUUAUCCUGGACACCUGAAUCAAAGAUCAGUAGAAAGAGUUUGCUAAAAUCUGAAAAAGAAGAAAAAAUCUCAGAAGAAUGGGGUUUUAAGGAUAUUUCUACUGCUCAGCAAAUGCUGAAGAGGGCACAGAAAAUGAAAUCAAAGACAUUAAAGAAAAAGUUAGAUCCUACUGUGCGUCUAGCGUUAUUCAAAAACAGUGAAAAUAAAGUUUCUCUUACAAAAUCACCAAAGAAGUCACGUCCCAUAAGAGAUGGUCACUCUGAAGGUAAGGAAGAUGACUUAAUCUACAAAGACACCUCUGCCAAUGAAAAAUUGGAACAGAGUACAGCAUAUACAUACGAGUGGCUUCACACACAGGUUGGGGUUCAUGAAACAACUAGUUCCAGAAAUAUGAAAAGCAAUCACUUCUUGCCUGAGUUAGAUCCAGAUGUACUUAAUGGUAGAAGAGUUCAACUUGUGGCAAGACAUGUAAGCAGAGAAGACACGGAUUUAGACCUUUUUUCCAUGACCAGUGGAAGUACUUUGUCUGUGAACAGAGAAAAAAAGAGUCAGGCACAUAGCAGACACUCAGCGGGAUCUUCAAGUUGGUCAAUUAAGGGAAUACCUAUGAUAACAAAUACAAGAUCUCCUAAAAAAGAACGUAUAUCAUUCCGUGACAAUCCUCUACAGCUCAGUGGUGGAUGGGGAAGUGGCAGAAAGAAGGCAAAAAAUUCCAACUAGUCCUGCAAACUUCAGCAUUCAAAACAUAUGGCAAACGGUUUAUUUAAAAGAAGUCUGUGGAUAUCUGGUCAUGUUACCAAUUGGAUACAAGGUUUUAGAGUACUGUAUUUAAUUUAUUUUAUUAUACAUAUUUCUCAAUUUUGUUUUUCUGGUGCAGUUAUCUUAUUUCCCAUCUAUAAAACAAAGUUUGCAAUUCUUCCUGUUUUCAUGUGGAAUGGCCGCCAGAAAACUCGUUCUUGAAAUAUUGCAUUGGAAUUUGUAUAUGCAGUUUCUUCUUUUGCUUACAUUUUUAUGAUGUAUUAUUCAAGAUGGCUUUUGUUACCGCUUUUACUUUUUAAUACCAUAUAUAUCUACAAGAGACUAUAACUAUUUUAUUGGUAUUAUUUAAUGUAGUAUUAAUAAUCAAAUAAUUAAUAUAUUAAUAACCUUGAAUCAACCAGAUUAUUAUAAAUGGGCAUUUAAAAAAUGAAUUAAUGGAUAAGGUGAUUCAAAAUAUACAACAAAACUGGGCUCUUUUUAAAAUUUUAAGCUAUCUUAGUGAAUUAUAGAAAAGUGAAUAGUUUAUGUCAAAAUAAAAUGUAAAUUUAAAUAAUUAUUUAUGUAAUAAAUAUUUCCAUGUAAGUUUCACUCAGGCAUUGUCUAUUAUUCUUGCAAAUUAUAAUAUGGAAUGUUAAUUCUGGUUCAUUAACAUUAUUCUACUCUCUGAAAAUAUACUAUCAUUUGU
rnacentral:lncRNA from 1 species